UUUGAAGAUGACGAGCGGCGGACGGGUGAGUAAUGCCUGGGAAUAUGCCUUGAUGUGGGGGAUAACCAUUGGAAACGAUGGCUAAUACCGCAUAAUGCCUACGGGCCAAAGAGGGGGAUCUUCGGACCUCUCGCGUCAAGAUUAGCCCAGGUGGGAUUAGCUAGUUGGUGAGGUAAUGGCUCACCAAGGCGACGAUCCCUAGCUGGUCUGAGAGGAUGAUCAGCCACACUGGAACUGAGACACGGUCCAGACUCCUACGGGAGGCAGCAGUGGGGAAUAUUGCACAAUGGGCGCAAGCCUGAUGCAGCCAUGCCGCGUGUGUGAAGAAGGCCUUCGGGUUGUAAAGCACUUUCAGUCGUGAGGAAGGUAGUUGCGUUAAUAGCGUAAUUAUUUGACGUUAGCGACAGAAGAAGCACCGGCUAACUCCGUGCCAGCAGCCGCGGUAAUACGGAGGGUGCGAGCGUUAAUCGGAAUUACUGGGCGUAAAGCGCAUGCAGGUGGUUUGUUAAGUCAGAUGUGAAAGCCCGGGGCUCAACCUCGGAAUUGCAUUUGAAACUGGCAGACUAGAGUACUGUAGAGGGGGGUAGAAUUUCAGGUGUAGCGGUGAAAUGCGUAGAGAUCUGAAGGAAUACCGGUGGCGAAGGCGGCCCCCUGGACAGAUACUGACACUCAGAUGCGAAAGCGUGGGGAGCAAACAGGAUUAGAUACCCUGGUAGUCCACGCCGUAAACGAUGUCUACUUGGAGGUUGUGGCCUUGAGCCGUGGCUUUCGGAGCUAACGCGUUAAGUAGACCGCCUGGGGAGUACGGUCGCAAGAUUAAAACUCAAAUGAAUUGACGGGGGCCCGCACAAGCGGUGGAGCAUGUGGUUUAAUUCGAUGCAACGCGAAGAACCUUACCUACUCUUGACAUCCAGAGAAGCCAGCGGAGACGCAGGUGUGCCUUCGGGAACUCUGAGACAGGUGCUGCAUGGCUGUCGUCAGCUCGUGUUGUGAAAUGUUGGGUUAAGUCCCGCAACGAGCGCAACCCUUAUCCUUGUUUGCCAGCGAGUAAUGUCGGGAACUCCAGGGAGACUGCCGGUGAUAAACCGGAGGAAGGUGGGGACGACGUCAAGUCAUCAUGGCCCUUACGAGUAGGGCUACACACGUGCUACAAUGGCGCAUACAGAGGGCUGCCAACCAGCGAUGGUGAGCGAAUCCCAAAAAGUGCGUCGUAGUCCGGAUUGGAGUCUGCAACUCGACUCCAUGAAGUCGGAAUCGCUAGUAAUCGUGGAUCAGAAUGCCACGGUGAAUACGUUCCCGGGCCUUGUACACACCGCCCGUCACACCAUGGGAGUGGGCUGCAAAAGAAGUGGGUAGUUAACCUUCGAGG
rnacentral:rRNA from 1 species